rnacentral:rRNA from 1 species
UACGUAGGGUGCGAGCGUUGUCCGGAAUUAUUGGGCGUAAAGAGCUUGUAGGCGGUUUGUCGCGUCUGCCGUGAAAAUUCGAGGCCGUCAACUCGAACUUGCGGUGGGUACGGGCAGACUAGAGUGUGGUAGGGGGAGACUGGAAUUCCUGGUGUAGCGGUGAAAUGCGCAGAUAUCAGGAGGAACACCAGUGCGAAGGCGGCUUCCUGGACACCAACUGACGCUGAGACGCGAAAGCGUGGGGAGCAAACAGG